GGACAUUGUGUGAUAAAUAAGGAGGAGGAAAAAGAGUCAUGAGGAAGGAUGGAAAGCAGGAGUCUGGAUUUCAUGCUCUAGGAGCGUGACGCCCUUUGCCAGGUGUCGGCGAGGAGCGCGGCUGCCAAGGCACAGGGAACCGCAUCGACGCCUGCAGAUAAAUGACUACAUCCAUUGUGAGGCCUUGGUGCUGCAGAAUCACUCAGCGCUGGAAGAACUUUUCCCACCUGCGAUGUUCCGCUGAUUGCAGUUUGUCUUCAAGAACACCAUGAGCUUUACCAGCAUCCCAGGACUAAGCAGAAAGAAGCAUGAAAUAUCUUGGGUUAGCAGCAAGUGUGUCAUUUGCAGAGUAGUCAGGAAUAGAGCAAAUCUUAUGACAAAACUGAUUGGCGUUGGGAGCGUGCCCUGCUUUCCUGAGAGUCGAAAUUCCCUGAAAAUUAGGGAAAUGGCAAAGUUUCCGCUGACUUGUUGUAUUCCAGAUGGUUUGAUACUGUAUUUGAUACACUCUUUAAUGGACACUUGUGGACGAGCAGAAGCAGAAUUCAUUUCUUGUUUCUCCAAGCAGGACAUUUGGCUUCGUCUCCCCUUCCAGCUCCAGAUUUAGAAUGGGAUUCUAAAUAUAAGAGUCUAUAUCCAUAAAAAUGCAGAAAAGCUCCAAAUCCAAAUCAUUUUUGGCACUGAAAAAAAAGUCACGGUAGCUAUGAAAUACCACCUGCAGCUAUUCUAGAGGGGAUUUUACUGUGCUUGUUAUUAUAAGAGCUGGUUGAAUGUAUCUCACGUUUAUUUUUACAUUCCAUCAAAGUUUUGAAAUUCAAAAUGUUAAUAGUAAGUAUAACAUCUCCCCUCCACUCCCUGUAAGACUGAUCCUUUUUUUUUCCUUUCCCAUUUUAACAUUUUUAGCUUCAAAAUAUGGAAUGACUGAGUUGAAAUACAAUUGGGGAGGAAUUUCCCAAAACCGUUUACCACUUCCACCACCCCCACUGCUUUCCAAGGCUCUGGCCCAUGCCUUCCACACCAUUAAUCUGAGAACGGCAGCACCCCUUCUCCUUUGAAUAUCAAACUCUUACGUUGCAGAAGCUGCCUAUAGAGAUACACCAUAACCACCAUCUUAAAAGUACUGAAUCGAGCAGAAAAAAGGCCCUUUGAAGAGCAUCUUCCUCCCUUUGCUGUUCUGCAAGGCGGUGCAGAUAGGAAGAUGCUGCUUGCAGAAGGUGAACACUGUUGGUUCUGUAUGGUUUUACUUGAAAGACCUCGGUGUGCAGCUUUAAUUCCUCCCCAUCUGAAAAGACUUCUGCAAAGUCUCAGCUAGGCAAGCAAACUCCUCUGACUCUGCCGGCAGCUCCUGCUCGCUGGUUGUUUUCUGAUCAGAAAGCUCAGCUCAGGUAAACCAGCCUGCUCCUGUUUUGAAGUUAACAGAGCUACACAAUUUUAUAUGGCCCGAAGCAUGCAAAGAGCGCUGUGACUUCCAAAGGCAGGUGUUUCUCUCCCUCUCUUUGUGUUUGUUCUUAAAAUUUUAUUCACUAGGUACAGCUCACGGGAAAAACACUGCUUGGUUUCGAAGGGAGGCAGUGACACCUUAUCUACAAUUGUGCAAACAGCUGUUGGGUUCGUUUCCUGCAGUCGUUUUAUGUAUCAGUAAAAUGCAGUCAGCUGCACAGUAUGAAUGAAGCGUUACACUUCGCUUUGAUUGUGUUUUCACCAGUUCUGCAAGGCUUGACCUGGAAAUGAAUACCAUCCAUCCCGUGGGGAUGAGCAACUCAAGGUUUGUGUGCUGUGUGUUAACGCUUCUUGUGUCUUGAAUACUGUGUUCAGUUUUGGGCCCCUCAUGCCGAGAAAGUCCUUGAGGUGCUGGAGCGAGUUGAGAGACGGGAACAGAGCUGGUGAGGGGCUGGAGCACAAGUGCGAUGGGAGCGGCUGAGGGACCUGGGGGUUCAGCUGGAGAACAGGAGCUGAGGGGAGACCUUCUGAUCUCUGAACUGCCUGAAAGGAGCUUGGAGCCAGGGGGGGUCGGGCUCUGCUCCCCAGGAACAAGCGCCAGGAGCAGAGGCAACGGCCUCAAGUUGCACCAGGGGAGGCUGAGGUUGGAUCUGGGGAACAAUUUCUUCCCCAAAGGGCUGUGGGGCAUUGGAACAGGCUGUCCAGGGCAGUGCUGGAGUCACCAUCCCUGGAGGGGUUGGACAGAUGGAGAUGUGGUUCUCAGGGACAUGGGGUAGAGGUGGACUUGGCAGUGUUGGGUGAAUGGUUGGACUUGAUGAUCUUAAGGGUCUUUUCCAAGUAAAGUGAUUCUAUGUUUCUGUGAUAAGCAAGAAGAGCAGCAGAGCAUGGGCUGGACUUGUGAGGAAGGUACCAAGUGUCCAUCAUCAAUGGUCACUCUCAGCAGCAAUGUCACCCACCACCCCAUUUUUGAAGGCCACAGCUGCCAUGUCUCGGCCUGUCUUUCUUGCACAGACCUUUCUGCUGCAUUGACUGCUCUUAGCAAGUCUUCUCGUCAAAACAGAUCAGUGUCACAGGGGGUAGAGGGUUUUUCUUUGCUCUAAAGAGCAUUUUCAUUGAAGGACACCUAAUACGUUAGGAGAAAGAGAGGUGACACAAUUCACUCCACUUGUCACUUUACAUCUGGUCGGUGGUGCCAGGAAUGAAACUGAGCAGUCCAGGGGAACAGGAUUAAUUUGUUAAUGAAUGACAAGGAAAAGUCCUGCAAAGGGGUGCUGGGGGAGGCAGCGUGCAGAAGGGGUUGUUAAGGGAAGAGCUGCUCCAUCAAUGCAUGAGAUAAAUGUAGAGAUAGAUGGACACUUUCCAGAGUCAAAUGCUAAAGUAUAUCUCAGAGACACAAGGUGCUUCCUGAAGAAUCACCGUGAUGUAUUCAGGGUUGGAUUUUCAAAGUCAGCUAAAGGUAAUUUCUUUGGGGUUUUAAUACAAUAUAUUGGUUUGCUUGGGAAAGAAAAAAAAAAGAAGAAACCAAUCCAUUUUAAACAACCAAGAGAAGACAAACAGCUGUAAUUUUAAAGCAUUGAGAGCAAUGUAUCCAUUUUGAAGAGGAGAGUGAUUUUUCAGAGCUCAAAGCGAUGAAGCACCCAACCCCUAUCAUAGUUCAGGGGAAUGUCAGCACCUGUUUCCCUUUAACUAAAAUUGAAACACGAUGAAUUUCAUGUCAAGCCAGGCCUCUGUACAGAAGAGCGUGUUAAAAGGUUUCCAGAGGAUGUUUAGAGGCAUAACACGGGGCUAUAAUAUGAAAUACAUGGCAAUUUAACAUACAACUAUAAUUGUAUUAUACAGCCGUUAUCGACAGUGCGACUGACACAAUGUCCAAUUACGAAGGGGGAAAUGACAUCUCUCGCAGCUUAACAGCUACACCGUUAAGUAUGGUCAGUCUGUGAGUUAUUAAAAUGGCAGAAAUUAAUGUUAAAAUAAUAGAUUGGCAUUUCCUUAAGAUGUGAUAAUAUUCCCGUAAAUCUCCUUUAGAUAAGAGGAACGUAACCGAGACAUUAAAGGACUGUCGGUAUAUGUGCAGCGAGGGUGACUCUCAAUGAAUAAUAAAUGGCUCUAGGUGACUUGUUGUUAUGGCGCUGAUAUUGCACGAUAUUAACUUUUAAGGCAUGCCUUCAGAACUCAGAAACUUUAUGGACUCCUGUGUUUUAUGAUCUCGUAACCUCAUCCUGGAGGCGGUGGCUUCUUUGUUCCAUCUCGUGAUUACCAGGUAGCCGCUGGCACCGUGUCCAGCCGCUGCACCCUCCGCUCCCCAUCCGCCUCCCCAAUCGAUGGUGGUUUUACUGGGCUGGAAUCAAACCACUUUAGACCAUAUUUCCUCAGACAUAAAAAGUUACAUAGGGCUUUACCGUCCCUAAGUGAUGUAUGCACAUUAGCUAAUUAAUUAAUCUUGCUGAGUAGCAUAUUAAUUUCUUUUAAUUUCCUACCUGACUUGAAAGGUAGCAUUUCCCUGAAACGUGGUGCUAUAGGAAAGGAUUUAAAGAUUUAGACUUUCCAAGUCUGCUCUGAGUGCAUGCAUGAGCACACAGACAGACAGACACACAGUCUUGCCUUCACAAGAGAGAUGUGGGCCCUUUCUUUCAACAAACAUUCACUCUGGUCCAAAAGGACCUUUUAAUGUAAGUAAGUGACCUAGGAACUCACCUCCUAGUUUCAAAGAUGCUUAAAGCCACAUGCAAAAGAGGGCUGAGGUGCCUCGGAGUUUCAACACCUAAAUCCAACGUGGUAUCCCGGCCCCUCUGCCUCGUCCCUGCUACUGGCUCCUUCUUCACAGAGUCACAGAAUCCCAGCAUGUCAGGGGUUGGAAGGGACCUGGAAAGCUCAUCCAGUGCAAUCCCCCCAUGGAGCAGGAACACCCAGAUGAGGUUACACAGGAAGGUGUCCAGGCGGGUUGGAAUGUCUGCACAGAAGGAGACUCCACAACCCCCUGGGCAGCCUGGGCCAGGCUCUGCCACCCUCACCAGGAAGAAGUUUCUUCUCAAAUUUAAGUGGAACCUCUUGUGUUCCUGUUUGAACCCAUUGCCCCUUGUCCUAUCACUGGUUGUCACCGAGAAGAGCCUGGCUCCAUCCUCCUGACACCCUUUAUAUAUCUGUAAACAUUAAUGAGGUCACCCCUCAGUCUCCUCUUGUCCAGCUCCAGAGCCCCAGCUCCCUCAGCCUUUCCUCACACGGGAGAUGCUCCACUCCCUUCAGCAUCUUGGUGGCUGCGCUGGACUCUCUCCAGCAGUUCCCUGUCCUGCUGGAACUGAGGGGCCACAA